GAAUAACCUUUAUCUCAGGGCUGCGUUGUUGUUGUCACGUCGUCACGUAUACAAAAUGCGACGGGCUGUCCUGGUAUUAGUCGCUGCUAUAGGAUAUGUAAGCUUGACAUCUGCCGAGUCAGAAGUGUCAACAUCAGACUGUUCGGCGAGCCUUGAUGUGAAACAGCUGUUCUGGUUCAGCAGCAGUGGAAAAUGCUGCAUCUCUUCAGGAACAGAACUGUAAAACUGGGUACAUGUGUUUCUGAGGCGAUGCUGUGCACGAUCGACACGAUUCCAACAGAACCUUUUUCGUGUCCUAAUUUAGGCUCAUUGCUUGCAUACAAAAACCCCUUUAAGUUGGAAUGCAUGAGUCCCUUAUGUGUGAUAUUAAUCUGUUCUGUGUUUUCUUAAUGAUGUCCAUUUCAAAUUUAUUUAAAAGCAACUAUCUUCAGACUGCUGUCUCCUUUUGGUACAGUUCACCAGCUUAAAGAUUGCCCAAUUACUUUUCAGGGUAAGAUUUUCUUUAAAUCCUUCCAAUGAAACUGAAGAUUUUGAAGCGUGCAAAUAUUGACACAUAAUCUAUUUGUGGAUGUCUAACAAACAAGCUGACAACUAAAUACCAGAAACCAAACAUGUGACUGAAAAUUGUAUGGAAGUAACAUGGAAAUAGUUUUAUUACUACCUUUUAGGCAAUACAGAUAAUUUCUCUUUAAUACCCUAUGAACGAAGAGUUUUCUUCAAGUAACGAUGGAGUUUAGCCUUUUAAAAUCUCUGAAGCAUUAAAAGUCUCAGAUGUAAUCGAUUCAUCGUGAUUACUUUUAAAGCGUUACUAGUGGAGAUAGUGUGAGGGCGGCCCAUCUCAUGAAUAACAUUUAUCAGAAUGUAAAAAAAAAAUCUACAUAACCUCAAGCAGAAACUGCUUUUACUUAAAUCUCUCUUAAAUGUUCCAUAAUUGUAAACUUCAGAAGUACCUGAAUAUCAAUAAAGAAGUUCUGCUAAAUUAAAGAGUA
rnacentral:lncRNA from 1 species